rnacentral:sRNA from 1 species
UCUAGAUUGAUGGUGCUCGUCAGGGCAACUCUACUGAACCCAAACACGAUGGAGUUAUGAUGAGUAGAUUAGGAGUUCUGGUGACCAGCUCCUGACUCCAUCAUGAGACCCUGGACCUCA